AUGAAGCUCUUUGUGGAGACCCUCGCCGGCAAGAAGAUCGCCGUGAAGGUCGACCCGUCGGACACCAUCAACGUCGUCAAGGCCAAGAUUCAUGAGCAGCAGCGCCUUACCUUUGACGACGAGGACCUAGACGACACACGCAGCGUGGCCUACUACCGCAUCCAUGAUGGAUCCACUCUCCGCCUCGGUCUGCGCCCAAGAAGGAAGAUCGAAAUCUUUGUCAAAGGGUUGGCUGGAAAGACCACUACCCAUUAUUUUGAGGAGCUGGACACCGUCGAUUGCGUCAAGGCCAUGAUCCAGGAGAGCGACGGCAUGCCCGCCGACGAACAGAGGCUCAUCCAUGCCGGGGAAACAGCUGGAAGAUGGUCGCACCCUGGCGGACUAUGCCAUCCACGACUGCGCCACAUUGCACCUCUUGCUCCGUCUCCGAUCAUGCAGCGGUCAGUGCCCAAGGCAGCCCCACGAAAGUGA
rnacentral:rRNA from 1 species